AAAUUGAAGGGUUUGAUCAUGGCUCAGAUUGAACGCUGGCGGCAGGCCUAACACAUGCAAGUCGAACGGUAACAGGAAGCAGCUUGCUGCUUCGCUGACGAGUGGCGGACGGGUGAGUAAUGUCUGGGAAACUGCCUGAUGGAGGGGGAUAACUACUGGAAACGGUGGCUAAUACCGCAUAACGUCGCAAGACCAAAGAGGGGGACCUUCGGGCCUCUUGCCAUCAGAUGUGCCCAGAUGGGAUUAGCUUGUUGGUGAGGUAACGGCUCACCAAGGCGACGAUCCCUAGCUGGUCUGAGAGGAUGACCAGCCACACUGGAACUGAGACACGGUCCAGACUCCUACGGGAGGCAGCAGUGGGGAAUAUUGCACAAUGGGCGCAAGCCUGAUGCAGCCAUGCCGCGUGUAUGAAGAAGGCCUUCGGG
rnacentral:rRNA from 1 species